rnacentral:rRNA from 1 species
CAUGCAGUCGAACGGUGAAGCCAAGCUUGCUUGGUGGAUCAGUGGCGAACGGGUGAGUAACACGUGAGCAACCUGCCCUGGACUCUGGGAUAAGCGCUGGAAACGGCGUCUAAUACUGGAUAUGAGCUCUCAUCGCAUGGUGGGGGUUGGAAAGAUUUUUCGGUUUGGGAUGGGCUCGCGGCCUAUCAGCUUGUUGGUGAGGUAAUGGCUCACCAAGGCGUCGACGGGUAGCCGGCCUGAGAGGGUGACCGGCCACACUGGGACUGAGACACGGCCCAGACUCCUACGGGAGGCAGCAGUGGGGAAUAUUGCACAAUGGGCGCAAGCCUGAUGCAGCAACGCCGCGUGAGGGAUGACGGCCUUCGGGUUGUAAACCUCUUUUGGUAGGGAAGAAGCCUUCGGGUGACGGUACCUGCAGAAAAAGCGCCGGCUAACUACGUGCCAGCAGCCGCGGUAAUACGUAGGGCGCAAGCGUUAUCCGGAAUUAUUGGGCGUAAAGAGCUCGUAGGCGGUCUGUCGCGUCUGCUGUGAAAUUCCGAGGCUCAACCUCGGGCUUGCAGUGGGUACGGGCAGACUAGAGUGCGGUAGGGGAGAUUGGAAUUCCUGGUGUAGCGGUGGAAUGCGCAGAUAUCAGGAGGAACACCGAUGGCGAAGGCAGAUCUCUGGGCCGUUACUGACGCUGAGGAGCGAAAGGGUGGGGAGCAAACAGGCUUAGAUACCCUGGUAGUCCACCCCGUAAACGUUGGGAACUAGUUGUGGGGUCCUUUCCACGGAUUCCGUGACGUAGCU